UGAUGAUGAUGAUGAUGAUGAUGUGCCCGUCUUUUGAAAAGCAUCUAGAUUUAUUUGAUCAGAACAUAUGCUAACACUUCUCUUUCUUACAUUGUUCAUUUAUGGUAACAUUCUCUAAGAAAUGGAAUGAUCUAGACACAAGGAUAAUGGCUGAACCCUAUUAUGCUUGAUGAAAAUCUCUCCCUGUUCCCUUCUUUUCGUUCCAUAUGAACUUGCUUAUAACGCUUGUGAUGAAAACAGUUUUGUGAUGCAAAGUGAAUUCAGUCCAUGCUGCUACUUUCCACCUGAUGCUUAUACACAGAACGUUAUUUGGCAUAAUUCAAAGUCAUACUUAUGGCUUUUUCCUCACCCUGGUGAUGCUUUCUCUCUCUCUCUCUCAUGAAUAAACUCAUGAUUAUUGCUUGCCUCACAGGCAGCGCAUAAUGGCUGACCAACCUUCUCACCUUUGAAAAUGACUGGAGAAGAGACAUCAGAAAUGGAAAAUAUUUCUCCUAGAUCACAGUAACUGUCCUCAGCUGCCAAUGAGGCAACAGCAUUUAAGAACAUAUGCAGGCAAAUCUCUGGAAUUUCCCUGAAUUCGGAAAUGGAUCUGCCUGGUGAUAUUUGAGAAAUCAGAUUUUGCCAGCUGCUGACCCGCAUCUUCAGUCAUUAGACCAACUACUGAAAAGAUGGAUGACAGUGUCCAAUACGCCAAAGUCUGAGUAAUCUCUCAUUUGUUCUUUAAAAAGCAACAAGUUGUGUGAAAUGGGCAACAAAAUGGCAAAUAUUGAAUCUGAUACAAACCCCUUCACCUCAAACCUUAAUCAGACACAAGAUUGUAGUACUGAUUUAGAGAUUGUGUGUGUAUCUAUAUAUAUCUCAAAAAUUUUACGGUUAGUGGCCACACUUUGUUAAUGGCAUAUGCAAUUGUAAGUCCACUUUACUCCUGUGUAUGUCCUGUUGUGAUUGUGAAUGUUGGUGUUUUCUUCCAUCCUACGCAAUAACCAAUGCACCACAAAUAGCCAUUCCAUGGCUGGUGGGGAAGACAUGAGAAUACUGGAGAGGUGCCUGGCUAGAUUCCACAGCCAGGUACAAAUGAAUGACAUCAUAGUGAAUCUUGAUGGAAGCUUUGUCACAUGUUUCUCCAGUGCUCCCAACCCCACUCUCCACCUGCUACAGAAUGGACAUACAUGAGAACUAGUUCAGAAAAACAUUGAGUCCUUGGGUUGCAGAGUGGGAAGUUGUAGUCGAAUACUGUCUGUGGAACUCUUAUCUUCUCUGGGCAAGAUAGGAUUUCAGUUUGGGUCUCAGUAUUAUUCAUUGCAUGGAGUUUUGCAUUCUUCCAAACAGCAUUCAUGAAGAGUCAAUUGAUUCUUUCUAGUGAAGAUACCUAGCAGAUUUUCAUGAAGAGAUUGCCUUAUAUGGGAUAGACCCUAGAUCAGUGAUGGAGCAAAUGCUUUGAAUGAGAAAGUCCACAGUAGCUAAUGUAUCCCAUGACAGUGAGGAAAAAUACCCAUUCCAGGUUUUGGCCAAGAAGUGAUUUACUAUCCAAGGUGUUGACCUUUUUUAGAAAUAGGAUUCAAGGGAUUGGAGAGCUUCUUUAAAGCCUGGAUUAAACUCUGGAAUAGAUUCACCACUCCAUAGGCAUAGGAACCACUGGCCACUUCUGAAAAGGCCCAGGUUUAAUCAAUGGCAUUGACUGGAAAUGGCUGCUGUCCAAGGGGACUGCAGUCAAUCAGGCUAGCUGGCCACUAGACAACAGGGAAUUAAAUGGAGCAAUGGUCUGAUUUUGUGCAAGAUAACUUUGCUAUAAGUUUGCUUUUAAUUAGUAUUUGCUUGGAUACAUGAACAAAAUAAUGAUGUCUGACUCCCCGUAUUACAAAUACAAAUUCAUAACCUAGUGUUAUGCAUCCACUACUGCUCCGUAUUCAGUUAUACUAUGUUUUU